rnacentral:lncRNA from 1 species
AUGCUAUUACCGUUAUGGCAUAAUUGCCCACUUGUGGAUAUUGUGCAGCUUAUGGAAAUGGUUUCUCUACACAUUCAGAUUUGUCUUGGUGAGGCUGCUCUACUUGGGGAAGGCACAUCACCCAGAGCUGAGAGCAGUCCUUGCUCCUUAUUUCAUCUUAACCUCAUGCGUACCAAACACCACCACAACCAGUGCUCACCCUGCUGCCACCCACGGCUGCUCAACCUGGCCACAGCUGGCUGCCCAGCAAGUGCUCCACAGGGAAAAGGGCAGAGACCACAAAAGAAAAAGGAAGAAAACUGGAGACCUAAAUGGCGUUACAUGAACCAGUCUGCCAAGCGUGCUUCCGGCCAGGCGAAGAAACAAGGCCGCAUGCUGAAACAUGACAUCAGGAGAAGACAGCCUUGCCAUUCUAGGCAUUCCCUAAUUCCACCUGCAGAAGUGAGAGAAACCUGUGGAUCAGAUCCCCUCUGUAAAACUCACCUGUGCACUCAACCUCCUGCUCUCCCCCUGGGCAAACCGGUGCCUUCCAGCUGGUGA